UCCCUUCCAAUCAAUGAGGUUGUUACAUCUCAUUGACCGGAAGGAAUCCCUUCCGGUCAAUGAGAUUGUUAUACCUCAUUGAUUGGAAGGGA
rnacentral:miRNA from 1 species